CCAUGAAUUUUUUUUAAAAAUCCUAAAUUACAAACACAUUCAACUAAUCCAAGGAGUAACAAAUAGUAGCAGAUUACAAUUUACAAUUACAUACAACUAAUCCAAGCACAUUCAACUACUAGCAGAUUACAAGAACAUUCAACUGAUCCAACUUCCAAGCACAUUCAACUACUAGCAGAUUACAAGAACAUUCAACUGAUCCAACUUCCAAGCAAAUUCAAGAAAUUAACAUCCAUAUAAUGAGUACCAAGCACAUUCAACUACUAGCAGAUUACAAGAACAUUCAACUGAUCCAACUUCCAAGCACAUUCAACUACUAGCAGAUUACAAGAACAUUCAACUGAUCCAACUUCCAAGCAAAUUCAAGAAAUUAACAUCCCUAUUAUGAGUACCAUACUACCUAUGUCCAUGAUUUCCUUGGUCUUACACAAUUACAAUCCAAAAUUAAAACUUGACAUGAAAGAAAAGAGUGACAAGAACUCAAAAUAACAGGAUAACAAAUAGCAUCAACAAAAACUCAGGAGUAACAGACUAGC
rnacentral:lncRNA from 1 species